rnacentral:rRNA from 1 species
CCAAUAGCGUAUAUUAAAGUUGUUGCAGUUAAAAAGCUCGUAGUUGAAUUUCGGGAUCAAUAUUUCGGUCAUGCCGUUGGUAUGCACUGUUAUCAUUGAUUUCUCACCUUCUAAAGAACCGUAAUGCCAUUAAUUUGGUGUUACGGGGAAUUAGGACUGUUACCUUGAAAAAAUUAGAGUGUUUAAAGCAGGCUCACGCUUGAAUACAUU